rnacentral:rRNA from 1 species
AUUGAACGCUGGCGGCAUGCCUUACACAUGCAAGUCGAACGGCAGCACGGGAGCAAUCCUGGUGGCGAGUGGCGAACGGGUGAGUAAUGUAUCGGAACGUACCUUUCAGUGGGGGAUAACGUAGCGAAAGUUACGCUAAUACCGCAUAUUCUGUGAGCAGGAAAGCAGGGGAUCGCAAGACCUUGCGCUGAUUGAGCGGCCGAUAUCAGAUUAGCUAGUUGGUGAGGUAAAGGCUCACCAAGGCGACGAUCUGUAGCGGGUCUGAGAGGAUGAUCCGCCACACUGGAACUGAGACACGGUCCAGACUCCUACGGGAGGCAGCAGUGGGGAAUUUUGGACAAUGGGCGCAAGCCUGAUCCAGCCAUGCCGCGUGAGUGAAGAAGGCCUUCGGUU